rnacentral:rRNA from 1 species
UACGUAGGGUGCAAGCGUUGUCCGGAAUUAUUGGGCGUAAAGAGCUCGUAGGCGGUUUGUCGCGUCUGCUGUGAAAAUCCAGGGCUUAACCCUGGACCUGCAGUGGGUACGGGCAGACUAGAGUGCGGUAGGGGAGAUCGGAAUUCCUGGUGUAGCGGUGAAAUGCGCAGAUAUCAGGAGGAACACCAAUAGCGAAGGCAGCUCGCUGGGACGUUACUGACACUGAGGCGCGAAAGCGUGGGGAGCGAACAGG